UCCCUCACGGCUGCGCGCACCAAGGCCUCGGCCUGCCGGAGCCCCGCGCUGCGGCUCCGAGUGCUCACAGGGCCCUCGCCUCUGCCAAGGACAUUUCACUGAGGAUGCAAAUGAAACAGGACAGGUAUUUGGAUCCUGUGUCAGUGUGACCAUGGAGAAGAUAGCUACAUCACUGCUACUAAAUGAAUUUCUGAUUUCCACAUGCAAGUUUUCUACCUCUCAUCUCUCAUCUACCUACAAAAAAACCACAUAGAUAACAAAGAAAGACAAAGGUGCAGAAUUUAGAGAUGUAGAUCCAGAUGUGCACAUGAAUGCCACAGGCUAAAGAAAGCAACUAUAAAGCAGCACAGCACUAGCUUGUGGACCAGAUGCCCAGACUGGGAUGAAGAGAGAGCAGAAGAGCAGAGGUGAGGAACGAAUGACAAGAAAGAAGCUGUCUUGCAUUAAUCUAUAGCAAUAUCAACUGUACAGACUGUUCACAACUGCCUGACUCAGGCUCUUAUGUACAGCAACACUCCUGGGGUUUGGUGCACAAAUAAAGACAUAGAAAGGUUUAAGGUUC